GUUGGACAUCACCCAAAGACAUCAUAUUGAAGGUCGCUGGAAUUCUGACAGUUAAAGGCGGCACCGGGGCAAUUGUUGAAUAUUUGGGGCCUGGCGUGGACUCCAUCUCCUGCACCGGCAUGGCCACGAUAUGCAACAUGGGCGCCGAGAUCGAUUGGCUACAGUGAAGGUCGUGGCAGAGAGUGUACUCAAACUCCUACUGUGAGCUACUUCUGCUGCCUGCGCCCUCACCACCCCUGUGAAGGACGCCCAGCUGACCCAACCCUCCUCGUGUGCCCCUGAGAGCUCCCUGCAGCACAGCGAGUCUCUUCUUGGACGGCUCAGAGGCACAGAAGAUGUAGCCAGACUUGCCGGCCAAACCCGAGGGUGUGUGUUGAUGUUGGGACCAAGAAGAAGAAGAGGAGGAAAAGGAGGAAGAUGAUGAUAAAGGCAACAGGAAGAUCAGAAGAAGAGGAGGAAGAAUGGAAGAAGAGAAGAGAACACACACACACACACACACACAUAUAUAUGACAAACACCUUUUUCUAUAUUUUUCAUUUUUAUUAGUCCAUACAACAUACAUUAGCUAUAUACAUAUAAUACAACAUAUGCAUAACUAUAUACAUUAGAUCAUAGAGUGAGUGAGUGAGUGAGACUCGAGAGGCGAGAUAGAGGUGCUCUCUCUCUCUCUCUCUCUCUCUCUCUCUCUCUCUCUCUCUCACCUCACCACAGCUCACAGGACCCUACAGAUGUACCUCCCACAGUAUGUUGACAACUGCCCACAGACACAUAUCCCCCCAGCCUCAUGAAGGACCCCCUUCUCCUUCCCUCCCCCCCUAGCCAACAUAGCACCCACAUAGCCUUAUCAAAGUUACUAUGUAUAUGUAUGUAUGUGUGUUUUUCUAUUAAUGAAAAGUUAAUUUGUAA